rnacentral:rRNA from 1 species
GGUGAACGCUGGCGGCAUGCCUUACACAUGCAAGUCGAACGGUAGAGGGGCAACCCUUGAGAGUGGCGAACGGGUGAGUAAUGUAUCGGAACAUGCCCAGUCGUGGGGGAUAACGUAGCGAAAGUUACGCUAAUACCGCAUACGAUCUAUGGAUGAAAGCGGGGGAUCGCAAGACCUCGCGCGAUUGGAGUGGCCGAUAUCAGAUUAGGUAGUUGGUGGGGUAAAGGCCUACCAAGCCGACGAUCUGUAGCUGGUCUGAGAGGACGACCAGCCACACUGGGACUGAGACACGGCCCAGACUCCUACGGGAGGCAGCAGUGGGGAAUUUUGGACAAUGGGCGAAAGCCUGAUCCAGCCAUUCCGCGUGCAGGAAGAAGGCCUUCGGGUUGUAAACUGCUUUUGUACGGAACGAAACGCGCUGUGCUAAUACCACGGCGUAAUGACGGUACCGUAAGAAUAAGCACCGGCUAACUACGUGCCAGCCGCCGCAGUAA